GGGAGGCUGCUCUGACGGUAUCAGACGCAGACACGGCUUGAGUGAUCCAUGCUACUUGUUGCUUCUGUGGCUAGCUUGGAAAUUAGCAGACGAAACUUGAACAUCGAAGCUUCUGAUGCGACCGGGUUGGAAGCUGGAAAUCUCCGUGUAGCCUCGUGUAGCAUCGGUCAGGUUUUUUGUUGGUGCACUAUUUGAUCCAUAGUGCUACUGUGAAGACUGGAUUGCAUUUCCAGAACUGGAUGGCGAGCCCCAGCCCAAGGAUCGGACAAACCAAUAGAUAGUGACCCGACUGGUCACUAUAACUGAGACAUUGCAUGAACAAUUGAUGGACACUGUGACAAAAGACUAAAAAGGAAAAAAGACUACAGACUGGAUUAUUUAUUUCUAAUUGUUUAUUUUCCUUGUGUUGUUUUUGCUUUGGGUUUCAAAAGGGAAAAGCGCGCAGUUUGUUAAUUGUGUAUAUAUAU